rnacentral:tRNA from 3 species
GCGGUUACGGAAGGCCUUUCAAGCCGAGGACCAGGGUUCAAAUCCCUGACCGAGCA